rnacentral:rRNA from 1 species
AUUGAACGCUGGCGGCAUGCCUUACACAUGCAAGUCGAACGGUAACAGGUCUCCGGAUGCUGACGAGUGGCGAACGGGUGAGUAAUACAUCGGAACGUGCCCAGUAGUGGGGGAUAACUACUCGAAAGAGUGGCUAAUACCGCAUGAGAUCCCCGGAGGAAAGAAGGGGAUCGCAAGAAGUUGUGCUACUAGAGCGGCCGAUGGCAGAUUAGGUAGUUGGUGGGAUAAAAGCUUACCAAGCCGACGAUCUGUAGCUGGUCUGAGAGGACGAUCAGCCACACUGGGACUGAGACACGGCCCAGACUCCUACGGGAGGCAGCAGUGGGGAAUUUUGGACAAUGGGCGAAAGCCUGAUCCAGCAAUGCCGCGUGCAGGAUGAAGGCCUUCGGGUUGUAAACUGCUUUUGUACGGAACGAAAAGCCCCGGGUUAAUACCCUGGGGUCAUGACGGUACCGUAAGAAUAAGCACCGGCUAACUACGUGCCAGCCGCCGCCGUAA